rnacentral:rRNA from 1 species
UACGUAGGGGGCAAGCGUUGUCCGGAAUUAUUGGGCGUAAAGAGCUUGUAGGCGGUUUGUCGCGUCUGCUGUGAAAAUCCGGGGCUCAACCCCGGACUUGCAGUGGGUACGGGCAGACUAGAGUGUGGUAGGGGAGACUGGAAUUCCUGGUGUAGCGGUGGAAUGCGCAGAUAUCAGGAGGAACACCGAUGGCGAAGGCAGGUCUCUGGGCCACUACUGACGCUGAGGAGCGAAAGCGUGGGGAGCAAACAGG